UACAGAGGGUGCAAGCGUUAAUCGGAAUUACUGGGCGUAAAGCGCACGCAGGCGGUUGGAUAAGUUAGAUGUGAAAGCCCCGGGCUCAACCUGGGAAUUGCAUUUAAAACUGUCCAGCUAGAGUCUUGUAGAGGGGGGUAGAAUUCCAGGUGUAGCGGUGAAAUGCGUAGAGAUCUGGAGGAAUACCGGUGGCGAAGGCGGCCCCCUGGACAAAGACUGACGCUCAGGUGCGAAAGCGUGGGGAGCAAACAGG
rnacentral:rRNA from 1 species